ACUCCUACGGGAGGCAGCAGUAGGGAAUCUUCCACAAUGGGCGCAAGCCUGAUGGAGCAACACCGCGUGAGUGAAGAAGGGUUUCGGCUCGUAAAGCUCUGUUGUUAAAGAAGAACACGUAUGAGAGUAACUGUUCAUACGUUGACGGUAUUUAACCAGAAAGUCACGGCUAACUACGUGCCAGCAGCCGCGGUAAUACGUAGGUGGCAAGCGUUAUCCGGAUUUAUUGGGCGUAAAAAGAGUGCAGGCGGUUUUCUAAGUCUGAUGUGAAAGCCUUCGGCUUAACCGGAGAAGUGCAUCGGAAACUGGAUAACUUGAGUGCAGAAGAGGGUAGUGGAACUCCAUGUGUAGCGGUGGAAUGCGUAGAUAUAUGGAAGAACACCAGUGGCGAAGGCGGCUACCUGGUCUGCAACUGACGCUGAGACUCGAAAGCAU
rnacentral:rRNA from 1 species